rnacentral:lncRNA from 1 species
GUUAGUUAUUUGAUACUUUUCAGUUUUCUGUCUGGCAUUUCUGAGUUUUUUUUCUGAUUAUUACCAGCAAGUAGUUAAUAAGAAUUAUCAUAUACUUUUGUAAAUGUAGAAAUAUUAGUAUGUAUUCCAAUACCAAACAAAAUUGCAUGUUUGUUUGUUUUAAGUGUGGUCAAUUGUCUAAAGCCUAGACGGACAAAGGAAGCUGCAAUUGCUUCUGUAACUCAUUGUCCCACCGACCAGCUGUGGUAACGCCAGUCGCCAACAGCUACAGCGCUUUUCCAGGAGGCUUCAGUUAUUCUGUGACUGGUGACCAAGGCAUGACACAUCACCCAGCAACUCACAAUCUCGCUGGCGGAGAGUGUUGCUGAGCAGCUGACCAACUGCGGCUGCUGGAGCGUUUCUCAGUCGUCGACCUCCGUAGACUGUCGAGCCCUUGGUCGAGCCUCCCUGGCCUUCUGCGACUCAAGAAGGAGGGAUUUUUAUCUGUGUUUACCAUACAAGAGACAUUUUAAUCUGACGAUUCGAUCGGAUCUGGAUCAUGAAUCCCGAGGCGGUGUGACAGAUGGUCGAGGCCGGCGCGCCACGCCAGACGCCUUCUCGCGCGGGGCGUGCUCAGGUCAGUCAGGUUGCGCUGCCGGACUCUUCUCCGAGGAGAGAAGCACAUAAGCGCAGUCAGGACGCGAGUGUGGUUGCACCGCCCCGGUCCCAGCAACCGCAUGGCGGUGGGGACUCACAGCCCCGCUGAUGGUUCCAGAUCGUCUCAGCGCAGCUUCUUCUCUGGACCCCGGCGCGGCAGCGAGGCUGGUGGUUCGGAGCCGACUGAUGGAGGACAGCAAAAGAACAGCAGGACAGGACAGCACCCUAACAGUAGCCUUCGGUCAUGUGGCGAGAGCUGGGCCCCGGACCAGUCGAAAGGGUGCUCACUGCUCAGCUGAGUUGGUAAAGUCCGCGUCUCGUUAGUGUCCCCGGCCAGGUCCUGAACGGUAGAUGAGGGCGGGAUAUUCUCCUUUAUAGACGCAGAGCAAUGCCAGAAGAAUGGUUUUGCGAUCGAGUUGCAUGCGCUGUCCCUGCCUGUCGCUCCUGCUGCCGCCGGCGGGGUUGGCGCUAAUGGCCAUUGACAAGGCUGCUGUGUUUGUAAAUUAGGUUGGAUGGACCCCUGCUCUCAGAGUUUUGUGUUGGUCGCUGGUAACCCAUGUUUUGUGGCCAGCGUGUUACGAACCCACGUAGCGGUUUGACCCCGUGGGGUGCUGUGAGACAGCGCGGAGCGACGCGAGGAUGCUGCUGAAACACGCUGAUGUUUGUGUGUACCUAUCGUCAUUUUGAAGUGCUGCUUGAGUUUGCUCGUUUGUUCUGUCUUACUGUUUUGUGUUUUCUACCAAGAUAAUGUCGAUAAGAUUGUUCAAUAAAGUUUGAGUUCAGACUUCCGGACCGGGAAAGACUGAGACGUCUGAACCGGGGCCGGCAAAGGCGUCUAAACCGGGACCGAUUGAGGCAGCUGGACUGGGACCAACGAAUGGCUGCCAGUUCUGGACCGAAAGUGGCCGGGCUGCAUCCGAUGCGCCACCACAUACCGUAUCACUGGCAGCCAUAUGCGUUCCUGUCGCAGGCCACCGUUCACGCUUCAGUUUCGGCGCUGGUGCCCCGGCCGGGUAUAUGCUCUGCUCGGUAUACCUAACUGUUGUGAGCAAAACCUCGUAAUCGUACGUCUAAUGCUAUAGUUGUUGUUCAAAUCCGCGUAAAUUAUGACAUUCUGGCAACUAUGCCGACCCAUAACCAAGCAUAGGUCAAUGUUGGCUCAGUCGGCUACGGUCGAAGUUAUGGUGUUUUUCCAGCCGAUAAUGCAUCAAUAUAAACUCCUUCCACA